rnacentral:rRNA from 1 species
ACGGCAGCUAAUACCGGAUGAUUCAUAACUAAGAAAACUAGAUGUGCUAAAAGGAGCUUCGGCUUCACCUCGGGGAUGGGCUUGCGUUGUAUUAGCUAGUUGGUGAGGUAAUGGCUUACCAAGGCAACGAUGCAUAUCCGAGCUGAGAGGCUGAUCGGACACAUUGGAACUGAGACACGGUCCAAACUCCUACGGGGAGGCAGCAGUUAGGAAUAUUCGUCAAUGGGGGCAACCCUGAACGAGCAAUGCCGCGUGAGUGAUGAAGGCCCCUCUGGGUUGUAAACUUCUGAUCUAAGGGAAAAAGAAAGUGAUGGUACCUUAGGAGAAAGCCACGGCUAACUACGUGCC